rnacentral:rRNA from 1 species
GACGAACGCUGGCGGCGUGCCUAAUACAUGCAAGUAGAACGCUGAAGGAGGAGCUUGCUUCUCUGGAUGAGUUGCGAACGGGUGAGUAACGCGUAGGUAACCUGCCUGGUAGCGGGGGAUAACUAUUGGAAACGAUAGCUAAUACCGCAUAACAGUAGAUAUCGCAUGAUAGCUGCUUGAAAGGUGCAAUUGCACCACUACCAGAUGGACCUGCGUUGUAUUAGCUAGUUGGUGAGGUAACGGCUCACCAAGGCAACGAUACAUAGCCGACCUGAGAGGGUGAUCGGCCACACUGGGACUGAGACACGGCCCAGACUCCUACGGGAGGCAGCAGUAGGGAAUCUUCGGCAAUGGACGGAAGUCUGACCGAGCAACGCCGCGUGAGUGAAGAAGGUUUUCGGAUCGUAAAGCUCUGUUGUAAGAGAAGAACGAGUGUGAGAGUGGAAAGUUCACACUGUGACGGUAUCUUACCAGAAAGGGACGGCUAACUACGUGCCAGCAGCCGCGGUAAUACGUAGGUCCCGAGCGUUGUCCGGAUUUAUUGGGCGUAAAGCGAGCGCAGGCGGUUAGAUAAGUCUGAAGUUAAAGGCUGUGGCUUAACCAUAGUACGCUUUGGAAACUGUUUAACUUGAGUGCAAGAGGGGAGAGUGGAAUUCCAUGUGUAGCGGUGAAAUGCGUAGAUAUAUGGAGAAACACCGGUGGCGAAAGCGGCUCUCUGGCUUGUAACUGACGCUGAGGCUCGAAAGCGUGGGGAGCAAACAGG